rnacentral:rRNA from 1 species
AUGAACGUUGGCGGCAUGGAUUAGGCAUGCAAGUCGAGCGAGAAGUCUUAGUUUGAAGCUUCGGCUGAUUUCUAAGAUGGAAAGCGGCGAAAGGGUGAGUAACGCGUAGUUACGUACCCCAGGGUCCGGAAUAGCUGUGGGAAACUGCAGGUAAUGCCGGAUAACAUCUCCGGAUCAAAGGUGUGAUUCCGCCCUGGGAGCGGACUGCGUCCUACUAGCUUGUUGGUGGGGUAACGGCCUACCAAGGCAACGAUGGGUAGCGGGCGUGAGAGCGUGGCCCGUCACACUGGGACUGAGACACUGCCCAGACACCUACGGGUGGCUGCAGUCGAGAAUCUUCGGCAAUGUGCGCAAGCGUGACCGAGCGACGCCGCGUGUGGGAUGAAGGCCUUCGGGUUGUAAACCGCGAAAGUUGGGAGGAAGGCUCCGUGAAGAGCGGAGUUUGACCUAUCUUCAGGAAGGACGGGCUAAGUUCGUGCCAGCAGCCGCGGUAAGACGAACCGUCCAAACGUUAUUCGGAAUCACUGGGCUUGAAGGGUGCGUAGGCGGUGUCGUAAGUUGGGUGUGAAAUCCCUCGGCUCAACCGAGGAACUGCGCCCAAUACUGCCGUACUCGAGGGAGACAGAGGUAAGCGGAACUGAUGGUGGAGCGGUGAAAUGCGUUGAUAUCAUCAGGAACACCGGUGGCGAAAGCGGCUUACUGGAUCUCUUCUGACGCUGAGGCACGAAAGCUAGGGGAGCGAACGGGAUUAGAUGCCCCGGUAGUCCUAGCUGUAAACGAUGAGAACUUGGUUGAAGGGACUUCCACAUCCUCUCGGUCGUAGCAAAAGUGUUAAGAGCGCCGCCUGGGGAGUACGGCCGCAAGGCUGAAACUCAAAGGAAUUGACGGGGGCUCACACAAGCGGUGGAGCAUGUGGCUUAAUUCGAGGCUACGCGAAGAACCUUAUCCUGGGCUUGACAUGCACGGAUUCCGGCGGGGAAAACCGUCUAGGAUGCCUCGGGUGAAACGUACACAGGUGCUGCAUGGCUGUCGUCAGCUCGUGUCGUGAGAUGUCGGGUUAAGUCCCUUAACGAGCGAAACCCUUAUCCUUAGUUGCCAGCGGGUUAUGCCGGGGACUCUAGGGAGACUGCCGGUGUUAAACCGGAGGAAGGUGGGGAUGACGUCAAGUCCUCAUGGCCUUUAUGACCAGGGCUGCACACGUCCUACAAUGGCGCGCACAAAGGGAUGCGAACUCGCGAGAGCAAGCAAAUCCCAAAAAUCGUGCCUCAGUUCGGAUUGCAGGCUGAAAUUCGCCUGCAUGAAGCCGGAAUCGCUAGUAAUCGCGGGUCAGCAUACCGCGGUGAAUAUGUUCCUGAGCCUUGUACACACCGCCCGUCAAGCCACGAAAGUGGGGGGCCGCCGAAGUCGCCGUGCCAACCUUCGGGAGGCAAGCGCCGAAGCGGAACUCCGCGACUGGGACUA